rnacentral:lncRNA from 1 species
CCAAUACAUUUACACAGUUACUCCUUGUGCUGAUAAUUGAUAAAGAUUUAAGUGCAUUUGUUAGCCAGGAGUCUGUCAGAGCUUCAAUCUCUGCUCUUAAUUGCAACCAUGCAUCUCUUUUUGCAGGACCUAGGAGUCCUCCUAUGUUGUUCUUGUAAGUAUUAUACAACUCUUUUACUCUUCUGUAACGGAAAGCCAGCUUCCUCAUCCAG